GAUGAACGCUGGCGGCGUGCCUAAUACAUGCAAGUCGAGCGAACGGACGAGAAGCUUGCUUCUCUGAUGUUAGCGGCGGACGGGUGAGUAACACGUGGAUAACCUACCUAUAAGACUGGGAUAACUUCGGGAAACCGGAGCUAAUACCGGAUAAUAUUUUGAACCGCAUGGUUCAAAAGUGAAAGACGGUCUUGCUGUCACUUAUAGAUGGAUCCGCGCUGCAUUAGCUAGUUGGUAAGGUAACGGCUUACCAAGGCAACGAUGCAUAGCCGACCUGAGAGGGUGAUCGGCCACACUGGAACUGAGACACGGUCCAGACUCCUACGGGAGGCAGCAGUAGGGAAUCUUCCGCAAUGGGCGAAAGCCUGACGGAGCAACGCCGCGUGAGUGAUGAAGGUCUUCGGAUCGUAAAACUCUUUUAUUAGGGAAGAACAUAUGUGUAAGUAACUGUGCACAUCUUGACGUUACCUAAUCAGAAAGCCACGGCUAACUACGUG
rnacentral:rRNA from 1 species